CCGGGGAUAGGGAUGUUUUGGAUGAAUCUCUCAUCAACAUAUCGCAUCGGGUCAUACCGUUGUUAACCUGAUUAAGAUUGUCAUUAGAUAUGCAUCCACGAACUAAUAUAUAUCAUUCCUCACUUUCGUAGUCAUUUUGCAGGUCCCACAUGGAUGGCCUACAUGGUCAGAAUCCCAGAGAGUAGAGAUCCUCACCAUCCAAUAAACAGUUAUGUCUAACUAAACUCUGUAUGGACAGUGACAAAUCUCUAAUAUGUGAGUCUUUCUAUUUGCCCCAUCCAGGGUGGGGCAUUCUAGUUGAACAGCUUGGAUCAUCAUGUGGUGGGGCAAUAGGAACAAGCCUCCUAACAUUUCUUGGCACUUGCUACUCUUAUAAAGUUGCAGGCAUGGAGAAGUGCAAAUGAUGCUGCAACUUCAGGCACCAAAUACAGCUGAAGCACGCACAUGGAUCUGGGACGUUCGAUCUGGGAUGUUCUUCAGACAGUCCUAGAAAAAAGUAAGUGGCUCGAUCACUCAUUAGGUGUCCUAUUGUCCAUCCAAGCAUCCAUUUCUUCAUACAUAUGUCGCCCACCUGAUUAGUGGACCUGCCAGACUUUUGGACUGCAGAACAUUCCGGUGUCUUCCUGUUCUGUAUUUUGUAAAUACCGUCCUAUAUUUUGCAUUUUUGUGCAAAUUCUACUGGAGGUUAAAAUUUCACUCAUCAAAACAUGCUAACGGAAUGUAUGGACCCCGUUUUGUUACA